UACGUAGGGUGCGAGCGUUGCUCGGAAUCACUGGGCGUAAAGGGUGCGUAGGCGGGUCUUUAAGUCAGGGGUGAAAUCCUGGAGCUCAACUCCAGAACUGCCUUUGAUACUGAAGAUCUUGAGUGCGGGAGAGGUGAGUGGAACUGCGAGUGUAGAGGUGAAAUUCGUAGAUAUUCGCAAGAACACCAGUGGCGAAGGCGGCUCACUGGCCCGAUACUGACGCUGAGGCACGAAAGCGUGUGGAGCAAACAGG
rnacentral:rRNA from 1 species